GUGUUCACUUUGGCAGCACAUAUACAAAAAUUGGAACCAUACAGAGAAGAUUAGCAUGGCCCCUGUGCAGGAUGACAUGCAAAUUUGUGAAGCAUUCCACAUUUUU
ensembl:snRNA U6 U6 spliceosomal RNA